rnacentral:rRNA from 1 species
GUGAGGAAUAUUGGUCAAUGGGCGAGAGCCUGAACCAGCCAAGUCGCGUGAAGGAAGAAGGAUCUAUGGUUCGUAAACUUCUUUUGCAGGGGAAUAAAGUGCAGGACGUGUCCUGUUUUGUAUGUACCCUGAGAAUAAGGAUCGGCUAACUCCGUGCCAGCAGCCGCGGUAAUACGGAGGAUCCGAGCGUUAUCCGGAUUUAUUGGGUUUAAAGGGUGCGUAGGUGGUUUGAUAAGUCAGCGGUGAAAGUUUGAAGCUUAACUGUAAAAAUGCAGUUGAAAAUGUCGGACUUGAGUGUAAAUGAGGUAGGCGGAAUGCGUGGUGUAGCGGUGAAAUGCAUAGAUAUCACGCAGAACUCCGAUUGCGAAGGCAGCUUACUAAGCUACAACUGACACUGAAGCACGAAAGCGUGGGGAUCAAACAGGAUUAGAAACCCGUGUAGUCC